rnacentral:rRNA from 1 species
UACGAAGGGGGGCUAGCGUUGCUCGGAAUCACUGGGCGUAAAGCGCACGUAGGCGGACUCUUAAGUCGGUGGUGAAAUCCUGGAGCUCAACUCCAGAACUGCCUUCGAUACUGGGAGUCUCGAGUUCGGGAGAGGUGAGUGGAACUGCGAGUGUAGAGGUGAAAUUCGUAGAUAUUCGCAAGAACACCAGUGGCGAAGGCGGCUCACUGGCCCGAUACUGACGCUGAGGUGCGAAAAGCGUGGGGGAGCAAACAGGG